rfam:Lactobacillus ceti DSM 22408 NODE_172, whole genome shotgun sequence.
AAAAGAAAGCAGAAGCAUCCCGCUUCUCGCCUAAGGAAUAAGAAAGUUCCGGGGCAGAAUUAUAAAACUAAUUCCGAUAAAACGGAUCAUGUGCGGGGUGUUGUCAUGUAUUUGACAAGACCCCGCUUUUUCUGUCUG